UGAGGUCAGGCAAGAACACCC
rnacentral:rRNA from 5 species